CUCCUGCAUUGUAGUUCGCUUCAAUGGGUAAAGCAAAAGAGAAAAUUCUUGCCUAGACCUGAUCGAUCAUAGACUUAAGACACAAACAUGAGGGUUUUGCUAUAAUAUGGGAUACAAUUCUAUAGGCUAACACCAGUUUGAAAUCUCAUGAAGUCCUGUUACUCUAAAAAUUACUUCAAAAUAGCUUAUUUCUUUCCCUUCCCCUUCUCUGUAUAAUUGUGUGGUUUGCUUUUGCUUGUGCGUGUAGAUUCAUAUACCUUGAUUUUUCUUUGCAAUUUGCAUCUUGAGAUGAAGCACUGUGGAGAUGGUUGUGUUUAUGUAAAACUGUGCAACUGUUGUAAUAGAAAAAUAUUUUAAUAUACAGUUGAAAUGUUGCUCAUGAGAAUGUUU
rnacentral:misc_RNA from 1 species